rnacentral:rRNA from 1 species
GAUCAUGGUUCAGGAUGAACGCUAGCGACAGGCCUAACACAUGCAAGUCGAGGGGCAGCGGAGAGGUAGCAAUACCUUUGCCGGCGACCAGCGCACGGGUGAGUAACACGUAUGCAAUCCACCUGUAACAGGGGGAUAACCCGGAGAAAUCCGGACUAAUACCCCAUAAUAUGGGCGCUCCGCAUGGAGAGCCCAUUAAAGAGAGCAAUUUUGGUUACAGACGAGCAUGCGCU